CAGGCGCUCAGUCGGUGUGGAGUUGGACUCGGAUGGAGGUGAUGCGAGUGAAAAAAAAAAAUACUCACCAAGAGCCAAGAGCAGGAGGAAAACCGCAUCAGUCCGCCUCGACAGGACACUGAAAUCCUGCUGUUAAAAAAAAAAGAGAAAAAAAAAAACACAAAAAAAACCAAAAGCAGGGCGUGGAGGAAAAAUCGUGUUUUCUGCCCUCCCGCUGACUUUUGUGACUCAUCGUUUCAGCCAGAUGCUGUUCCGGACCAUCUGAAGAUGCAAGACUUCCAGUUGGUCUGAUUAAUGAGGUGGCAGUAAUGCAAUAAAGCAGAUCCGCUCAGCUUAUGUUAAAGCCUAAACACA